AACUGUCCAGAAUCGACAAAUCCAUAGGGGGAGAAAACAGAUGAGUUGUUUCCAUGGGCUUGGUUUAGGAGAAAAUAGAGUGUGAAUGAGUGUGGGUUUGUUUGAGGGUGUUGAAAAUGUUCUGGAAUUAGAUAGUGGUGACAUAAUCAUUGUACUAAAAGCCACUGAACUGUAUACUUUAAAAUGCUUACAAUGGUGUAUUUUGUGUUAAGCAAAUUUUCCUCCAUAAAAACUUUGAAUUUUUUAAAUUAAUCAGGGUAUAGAUUAAUUUUAAUUUAGUUAAUUUUAAGUUGGGAUGUUUAAUAAGGGUAAUUAAUGAAUUUAUUAGGGGUAGGGCAGGUUGUAGCCAAGAGAGUAAACACCUGAUGAGGGCUAUAGUAACAAAUCCUAUAAUUAUACAAGCAACAGUCUAAAAUCCAGUCCGUUUCCAUUGUCCCCAACUUGGAGAGACCAGCCAUGAAAGUAGGUCAGUGAUCUUGGGGGCCUUGGGUAUCUGUUCAAAGAUUUGGGUAAUAUUAUGCAAUAUUUUAACCUCUUGGGCCAUCUGGUGGAAGUAGGUUUGAACUUGUGAGUUGAUGUACAUUCAGCAAGUGGUUCUAGGAAAGGCACAAACCCCUCCUUCCUUGGCCGGUAUAGACAGUCUAGGGCCAGGCUAUUUUCUAAAACCAUUUAGGCAAGAGACUCAUGAGGCUGUUGCACAAGGGCUAGGAUGGGGUCUUAGGGAGUUGUUGUCCAUGUUGGGUUAAGGUUUUUGGUACUUCUUGGUUGCCUCAGUUACCUGAUUUUGUGUGGGUAGGGCCACCGUGCCUGUGCCCAGUCCAGUCAGUCAGUCCUAGUGGAACUGAACACCCAGUGCUAUAGCACUGACAGUGUCUCUGUGGGUUGGUGGUAGCCAGUCAGGGCAGGAAACUCAGGGGACCUGUGACCUGAGGGAAGCAGGCUGAGAGAGAGACAAUGAUUCAUUGCAGAAUAUAGUCUGGAGAAAGCUGCUCAGAGGGGAGAGAGAAGCUCAUUGGUUGUGAGCCUUGUGAUAUCAGGCCACACUAAAAGCCGAAAGUGGAUGCUCCUGGUGUGAAAUAUUCGUUAGGGCUCUUGGAGUUUGGUGGCGGCAGUGGGAUCCAAAGGAGACAUCUGAUGGCUUCGGGGAUGAGAAACACAGGCAUUGGUACCCGCAAAACCUUUGAGUUCCCCAUCUUUUUUGCCGUUUCUGAGGGCCGUGGCGCCAGCUGCAGAGCUCCAGCCAGCGGCAGAAGCAGAGCAAUGAGCAGUGGUGGAGGUAGAGCUGGCUCCAGCUCUGUUGACAUCACCCCUUCUAGCACUGGAGCCAGCAUUCCCUCCAUCAGCAGUGUUGGAGCUGGAGCAAGGGCCGACAUCGACUCCAGCAGGAGUGGGAGCUGCUGAGCUGGAGUCACCUGGACCAUCAUUUCUAGUGGGAAGCCCAUCUCCACCUGUGGCCGUUAAGGAGUGUGAAGAAGCCUAACCUCAUGGCCUUCCCUCCUAAGCUGGUGGUGGAGCAGUUGACCGUGAUGGAUGCGACCGUAGAGGUGGACACUAACAGGACCUGCUGCACAAAGUGGCUGUGCCGGCUCCAUGAGGAGCUCUUCCAGUAGGUGGUGCCCUCUCAGUGCCUGGGCUCCACCUGGGGCACGAGGAACAAGCCCGGCAAUGAGCACCUGGCACACACCGUUCAGGCCACCAUCAACCACUUCAGAAGGGUGGCCAGCCUCGUUGUCACCACCUGCCUCGGGGACCCGAGCAUGGUGGCCCAGGACAGGGCGAGGGUUGUGGAGCGCUGGGUCCAGGUGGCCCAGGUAUGCUGCAGGAGGCCCAGUGGAGCCCCUCUCUGGAGCCUUGGGAACUGCUUCUCCACCUUUAUUAGCUCCCAGGAUUGAAGUGUGUGGUCUAAGCCCCUGCACAGUCCCUAGGCCCUUCCUGCCAGGGGCCCGCUGACCUUGACUCCAGGUCCAGUGGGAGGAUGCUCACUUCCUAUCUGGCUCCUUCCCUGGGUUGAGCUAAAAUUCUCCUCCCUGUGAGUGUUAUUCUCUGGGUCCUAAAUGAGCCCUUCUGGGGCUCCCUGAUCAUCUGUCUCAUCCAGGAGGGGAGAUUUAAAUAGAAGGGGACCGAAGCUAGAGCAAGCAGGGCUCCAGCGCCCCACCUCACAGCUCAUUCUCUUCCCUUCCCCAGGAGUGCGAGAUCCUGAAGAACUUCUCCUCGCCCCGCACUGUCAUCUCUGCUCUGCGGAAAACCUCCACAAGCCACCUGAAGAACACAUGGGGGAAGUUUCCUGGGAGAGCUCUGAAAACUUAAGGAGCUCUAUAGCCAAGACGAGUCCUUGAGCAGCGAACUGAUGACCAAGGUUAACAAGCAGAGGGAUCUGUUAGGCCCAUGGGCAGGUGGGGUGCCAUUUUUGGGCAGGAGGCCCUAGUCAUGGGACACAGUGGUGUUGGCUGGGCUGUUCCAGGACGAGUUGCCGAGCUGGUGCCAUCAGCAGGUCUUUGGCUUCCAUGCACGUCCAUCCUGCUGGAUGUAGCUUUUUCCAGGCUGUUGAGUGGUUGGGGUGGGUUUAGCCCUCAGCCUAAACCUGUCCUCAGGAAGCCAGGCCCCUGUUGUUCCUUCUGUCUUCACCACGUCUUCAAGGGGGGCACCCUGCCUGCCCCAGGGAUGGGCACGGCAGGGGAUUCCCAUGGCCCAGGUGGACAAACAGGCUGCUCAUCCUUGGGUUUGAACGGCUGCACCAGAGACAGAUGUGUGUGCAUUCUGGGACUCCCCACUGGACCCCUAGAGCAGUCACUCGAGUCAACCACAGGAGUCUCACCUGAGUGCCUGGUUGGCAAUGGCAUAUGCCCCCGGUGGCUUAUGAGAAGCAUCUAAGCAACUGAUGGAUUCUUAGUGAUCCUGCUGAAAGGACGUUAGGAGUUUCAUGCAAACGAGGAAGCAAAGCAUCCUGUCACCACCUUCCCUGUGGAUCAGAGGUGGCACCUUGGGGGUCCAGUUCCUGAGUGGAUACAGAAAGAGUUCAAUGCAGGGGAAUGUCCUGAGGAGUUGCUUGUCUGUCCCAGCCUGGGGGCCAGACACUCCAUGGGACUGGAGUAGGCAAGAGCCACUCAACUGGACUCCCAAGACACCCCGUCCUCUCCAUCCAUGGCUCGGCCCAGGACCACGCUUUGAGAGCUCAGGGGACAGAACUGUUGUCAGUGGUGGGGCUGGGGGUUAGGUGAGGACGGUGAAACAGGGCCUCUGGCUGGGAGGGGCAAGUGGCUUCUUCUCUGUGGCCCCUGAGCAACUCACUGCCGCUGUUUGGGCCUCUGUCUCCUCAUCAGGGAAACGGAGGGAUGGUGAUUCUGUGGUGCAGGCCUCACAGGGUGGAGUUGAGGUAAGAGGGAGGAAAGGAAUGUGGGAGCUUUCUGCCUGCUCCACCUGGAGGGGUGAGGGCCAGAACAAUGAUGACAGUCAUGUGACACUGAGUCCUCAGGAGAACCUGUGAGGUAGCUGGAGUUCUCACACUUUCCAGAUGAGGAAACAGGCUCGGGGAGGCCAGGCCACAGGUCCAAGCUCACACCCAGAGUGAGAGUUGGAGCUGGGCUUGUUCUAGAAUCACAACAUCUUAGAGGAUGGAGUGGCAUUGGUACCAGUUGCCUCGAGUCAGAUGUCCAGGGUCAGAGACCAGUGGUGCUGGAGAGAAAUGGGGUGAGGGGAGUAUGGCCUCGCUGACACGGUCCUCGACCCUGGCAGGAGGGGCCCUCCACGUUUGCCCCCCGGAGAUCAUCCCCCAGAGAGUGCAGGAGAAGCAGCAGCAGCAGCAGGGUGUCAUCCCCAAUCUUGGCACUUUCCUCGGUGACCUGCUGAUGCUGCACCUGGUGAUGGGUGAUAAUCUCGAGGGGAAUGAAAUCAACCUUGAGAAAAGGACUGAGGAAUACCGAGUCAUGAGUAAGAUCCUGCUGCUCCAGGUGGCUGCAAAGAAUUACAACCUAGAGCCUGAGGAGCGAUUUGGGUCCUGGUUCCAGGACAUGGAGCUGCUCAACGAGAAUGAGGGG